rnacentral:lncRNA from 1 species
GCAGGAAAACUAAUGAGCUUCAAGGGUCCGGACACUUACCAGUUCCGAAUGUGAAUUUGGUUGGAACAGGUUGAAGCCCUUGGUGCCGGCAGCAACAAUUCUGAACAGAUGCAAGUGAUCGGAGAAGAAUUGGAGGUUAGAAAUCUAGAGAGAAGGUUGGGAGGUUUUAGAGAGAAGGAGGAGAAUUUGAGAUUUUCAGAAAGUUUGAGUUUGAGGAAGAAGAAGAUUGCAUGGGAAAAGUGGCGUCAGGUUCCUUUCUCACCUUAUAUACUGCCUCCAUUUAGAACGUCCGGACCAAUCCUAGUUUGCCACCUGACUUCCACUUCCUGGAAGUUCACAAUUCGGCUGCUGCUACACGAAUCACGAAGGAAGGGAAUUAAAAACUUGGCAGAGUUGGUCUCCCACUUACUAGGGAAGAUCGGAUGGUUUGACAAGUGUACCC